UACGUAGGGUGCGAGCGUUGUCCGGAAUUACUGGGCGUAAAGAGCUCGUAGGUGGUUUGUCGCGUUGUUCGUGAAAACCGGAGGCUCAACCUCUGGCGUGCGGGCGAUACGGGCAGACUUGAGUACUGCAGGGGAGACUGGAAUUCCCGGUGUAGCGGUGGAAUGCGCAGAUAUCAGGAGGAACACCGGUGGCGAAGGCGGGUCUCUGGGCAGUAACUGACGCUGAGGAGCGAAAGCGUGGGGAGCGAACAGG
rnacentral:rRNA from 1 species